rnacentral:rRNA from 1 species
CAGCAGCCGCGGUGAUACGUAGGGUGCGAGCGUUAAUCGGAAUUACUGGGCGUAAAGCGUGCGCAGGCGGUUUUGUAAGACAGGCGUGAAAUCCCCGGGCUCAACCUGGGAAUGGCGCUUGUGACUGCAAAGCUAGAGUGCGGCAGAGGGGGAUGGAAUUCCGCGUGUAGCAGUGAAAUGCGUAGAUAUGCGGAGGAACACCGAUGGCGAAGGCAAUCCCCUGGGCCUGCACUGACGCUCAUGCACGAAAGCGUGGGGAGCAAACAGGAUUAGAUACCCCAGUAGUCCCUGUCUCUUAUAC